GUGGCGGCGUGCCUAAUACAUGCAAGCGAGCGCGGGAAGCGGACAAUCACCCUUCGGGGUGUGCGUCCGUGGAACGAGCGGCGGAUGGGUGAGUAUCACGUGGGCAACCUGCCUGUAAGAUUGGGAUAACUCGCGGAAACGUGAGCUAAUACCGAAUGAAGUCUUUCGCCGCCUGGUGAAAGGAUGAAAGAUGGCUCUUGAGCUAUCACUUACAGGUGGGCCCGCGGCGCAUUAGCUAGUUGGUGGGGUGAAGGCCUGCCAAGGCGACGAUGCGUAGCCGACCUGAGAGGGUGAUCGGCCACACUGGGACUGAGACACGGCCCAGACUCCUACGGGAGGCAGCAGUAGGGAAUCUUCCGCAAUGGACGAAAGUCUGACGGAGCAACGCCGCGUGAGUGAAUGAAGGUCUUCGGAUCGUAAAACUCUGUUGUCAGGGAAGAACAAGUUGUGUUCUAACAGGACAUGACCUUGACGGUACCUGACCAGAAAGCCCCGGCUAACUACGUGCCAGCAGCAGC
rnacentral:rRNA from 1 species